ACCUUCUAUGGCGCAAUGAGUCAGUGUGUCUGGCUGUUUACCAGAAGUUUGGUGGUUCAAGCCCAUUCAGGGAUG